UACGGGGGGGGCAAGCGUUGUUCGGAAUUACUGGGCGUAAAGGGCUCGUAGGUGGCCAACUAAGUCAGACGUGAAAUCCCUCAGCUUAACUGGGGAACUGCGUCUGAUACUGGAUGGCUUGAGUUUGGGAGAGGGAUGCGGAAUUCCAGGUGUAGCGGUGAAAUGCGUAGAUAUCUGGAGGAACACCGGUGGCGAAGGCGGGUCUCUGGGCCGAAACUGACGCUGAGGAGCGAAAGCGUGGGGAGCAAACAGG
rnacentral:rRNA from 1 species